rnacentral:rRNA from 1 species
CGCCUUGCCAGCCCGCUCAGAAACUUAAAGGAAUUGACGGGGCCCGCACAAGCGGUGGAGCAUGUGGUUAAUUCGAAGCAACGCGAAGAACCUUACCAGGCCUUGACAUGCAGAGAACUUUCCAGAGAUGGAUUGGUGCCUUCGGGAACUCUGACACAGGUGCUGCAUGGCUGUCGUCAGCUCGUGUCGUGAGAUGUUGGGUUAAGUCCCGUAACGAGCGCAACCCUUGUCCUUAGUUACCAGCACGUUAUGGUGGGCACUCUAAGGAGACUGCCGGUGACAAACCGGAGGAAGGUGGGGAUGACAUCAAGUCAGCAUGGCCCUUACGUCCGGGGCUACACACGUGCUACAAUGGCCGGUACAAAGGGUUGCGAAGCCGUGAGGUGGAGCGAAUCUCAAAAAGCCGGCCUCAGUUCGGAUUGGAGGCUGCAACUCGCCUCCAUGAAGUCGGAAUCGCUAGUAACCGCAGAUCAGCUACGUUGCGGUGAAUACGUUCCCGGGCCUU